AUUGAACGCUGGCGGCAGGCUUAACACAUGCAAGUCGAGCGGGGUGAUGGUGCUUGCACUAUCACUUAGCGGCGGACGGGUGAGUAAUGCUUAGGAAUCUGCCUAUUAGUGGGGGACAACAUCUCGAAAGGGAUGCUAAUACCGCAUACGUCCUACGGGAGAAAGCAGGGGAUCACUUGUGACCUUGCGCUAAUAGAUGAGCCUAAGUCGGAUUAGCUAGUUGGUGGGGUAAAGGCCUACCAAGGCGACGAUCUGUAGCGGGUCUGAGAGGAUGUUCCGCCACACUGGGACUGAGACACGGCCCAGACUCCUACGGGAGGUAGCAGUGGGGAAUAUUGGACAAUGGGGGGAACCCUGAUCCAGCCAUGCUGCGUGUGUGAAGAAGGCCUUAUGGUUGUAAAGCACUUUAAGCGAGGAGGAGGCUCUUUUGGUUAAUACCCAAGAUGAGUGGACGUUACUCGCAGAAUAAGCACCGGCUAACUCUGUGCCAGCCGCCGCUGUAA
rnacentral:rRNA from 1 species